GGGAGGGGAGGGGAGGGGCGGGCGAUCCAGGUGUCUGGAGUCAGCCGCGCUUUACAGGGCCAGUUAGACUGUUUCCACUAUUCUCUCUUACAUCAAGUGAGCACAGGACUCGUCCACUUGUGAAUGUGAAGGAAAAUAUCUCUACCAAGAGCUUGUGCAGCUUCAACUUUACAAGCUCCCUCCCUAAUCAACUUCGGGCUUGACCAAGAGACUCAUGAAUCACACAAGCACGGGAGGGUACGCGCUUGUGCACUGGGGCUUGCCCUCUUGGAACACUGUCCUGGACCAGUGUCUAGUCUACUGGAGGUUGGGAGGUCACAAGAAGAACUGAGACUCCCUGCCCAGCACCAACUGCCAGACUUGUGAAUGAGGCCAACUUGGAAUAAAUUUCCAGCUGUUCCAACCAUCUGUAGUAGCCCAAGUGAGCCAGAAAAAGAACUUUGCAAUCAACUAACAGAAUCAAGAGAAACAAUAAAUCAAUAUUUUUUGCCUCUACGUUUUGCGAUGAAUUUUUAUGCAAUCAGUAAAUAACUGAAACAAUGUCCUUUUACUGUGUUCAAGUUUAACCUUAUAAAGGCGGGCUAAGAUAGAAUUAUGAACAACGCUUAGAUGUUUUACUUUGUAAAUUGCUCUGUGGGAGAUAGAAAAAAUUUUACACCUGGAAAGGAAGGGCUUAUUUUGAUCUAUUGGUAAAGUAAACUUCAAUACAAGUUAAAAUCUACCAGAAUUUUUUCCAAUUUGAAAAUUGUUGGAUCAUGCUAUUAUAAAUACUAUGGUAUAUGUUAUAAAUUUCUUCAAGAUAUUAUCCUCAUAAAAGUAAUGGAUUCUCACUGAAGAAAAAUGGAAAAGACUGGAAAUUGUAAAAAUAAAAAGUAAAAUAA